GGCAGAUUAGCUAGUUGGCGGGGUAAUGGCCCACCAAGGCAGUGAUCUGUAUCCGGCCUGAGAGGGCGCACGGACACACUGGAACUGAAACACGGUCCAGACUCCUACGGGAGGCAGCAGUGGGGAAUUUUGCGCAAUGGGGGAAACCCUGACGUAGCAACGCCGCGUGGAGGAUGAAGUCCCUUGGGACGUAAACUCCUUUCGACCGGGAAGAUUAUGACGGUACCGGAAGAAGAAGCCCCGGCUAACUUCGUGCCAGCAGCCGCGGUAAUACGAGGGGGGCAAGCGUUGUUCGGAAUUAUUGGGCGUAAAGGGUGCGUAGGCGGUUCGGUAAGUCUUGUGUGAAAUCUUCGGGCUCAACUCGAAGUCUGCACGAGAAACUGCCGGGCUUGAGUGUGGGAGAGGAAAGUGGAAUUCCUGGUGUAGCGGUGAAAUGCGUAGAUAUCAGGAGGAACACCGGUGGUGUAGACGGCUUUCUGGACCGUAACUGACGCUGAAACACGAAAGCGUGGGUAGCA
rnacentral:rRNA from 1 species